rnacentral:rRNA from 1 species
CCUACGGGUGACUGCAGUGAGGAAUAUUGGACAAUGGGCGGAAGCCUGAACCAGCCAAGUCGCGUGAGGGAUUAAGGCCCUGCGGGUCGUAAACCUCUUUUGCCGGGGAGCAGAGGUCCGGACGUGUCCGGGCCGGGAGAGUACCCGGAGAAAAAGCAUCGGCUAACUCCGUGCCAGCAGCCGCGGUAAUACAGAGGAUGCGAGCGUUAUCCGGAUUUAUUGGGUUUAAGGGGUGCGUAGGCGGGCAUUUAAGCCGGCGGUCAAAUGUCGGGGCUCAACCCCGGCCUGCCGCCGGAACUGGGUGCCUUGAGUGGGCGAGAAGUAUGCGGAAUGCGUGGUGUAGCGGUGGAAUGCAUAGAUAUCACGCAGAACCCCGAUUGCGAAGGCAGCAUACUGGCGCCCUACUGACGCUGAGGCACGAAAGUGCGGGUAUCGAACAGGAUUAGAUACCCCUGUAGUC